UGCCAGGCACUCUCCCUCACUGCCUUGGGGGCAUAAUUUUGCACAGCCUGUGAAAGACUAUGGGGAUUAUGGGUCAGGCUGACAAAUGCACAAUGUGAGCCAGUCAUUCGCCUUCUAGCGAUUUGUGUCCUUCAUAUUCCAACAUCCAUGCAGAACGACUCAAGUACCAGGGGGAAUCUGCCCAUGGAAGCACCACUGCCCUCAUCCGGUGGGAAUGUCUGUGAGCGGUGGUGGCCCUCAUAGCGGGCAGCCAGUGGCCUGCAGGGGACACCCACAUUCUUCACAUUGGCUCUUUCAGCAAUGACGGUUAUACAUGUGUUAUGCAAGGUGUGUGCCUUUCAUACAGACGUGAC